GAUGAACGCUGGCGGCGUGCCUAAUACAUGCAAGUCGAGCGAACGGACGAGAAGCUUGCUUCUCUGAUGUUAGCGGCGGACGGGUGAGUAACACGUGGAUAACCUCCCUAUAAGACUGGGAUAACUUCGGGAAACCGGAGCUAAUACCGGAUAAUAUUUUGAACCGCAUGGUUCAAACGUGAAAGACGGUCUUUCUGUCACUUAUAGAUGGAUCCGCGCUGCAUUAGCUAGUUGGGAAGGUAACGGCUUACCAAGGCAACGAUGCAUAGCCGACCUGAGAGGGUGAUCGGCCACACUGGAACUGAGACACGGUCCAGACUCCUACGGGAGGCAGCAGUAGGGAAUCUUCCGCAAUGGGCGAAAGCCUGACGGAGCAACGCCGCGUGAGUGAUGAAGGUCUUCGGAUCGUAAAACUCUGUUAUUAGGGAAGAACAUAUGUGUAAGUAACUGUGCACAUCUUGACGGUAACUAAUCAGAAAGCCACGGCUAACUACGUG
rnacentral:rRNA from 1 species